rnacentral:piRNA from 2 species
UAUUGAGGGCCUACUAUGUGCCGG